UACGUAGGGGGCAAGCGUUAUCCGGAUUUACUGGGUGUAAAGGGAGCGUAGACGGCGAUGCAAGUCUGAAGUGAAAGGCGGGGGCCCAACCCCCGGACUGCUUUGGAAACUGUAUAGCUGGAGUGCAGGAGAGGUAAGUGGAAUUCCUAGUGUAGCGGUGAAAUGCGUAGAUAUUAGGAGGAACACCAGUGGCGAAGGCGGCUUACUGGACUGUAACUGACGUUGAGGCUCGAAAGCGUGGGGAGCAAAUAGG
rnacentral:rRNA from 1 species